GGAUGAACGUUGGCGGCGUGCCUAAUACAUGCAAGUCGAACGAAGGUAGCAAUACCUUAGUGGCGAACGGGUGAGUAACACGUAGGUAACCUGCCUUUCAGUUGGGGAUAACCGAGGGAAACUUUGGCUAAUACCGAAUUCGUGCUUCGAAGGCAUCUUCGGAGCAUAAAAGGGGCCUUUAAAGCCUCGCUGAUUGAUGGACCUGCGGCGCAUUAGUUAGUUGGUGAGAUAACAGCCCACCAAGACGAGGAUGCGUAGCCGACCUGAGAGGGUGAUCGGCCACACUGGAACUGAGACACGGUCCAGACUCCUACGGGAGGCAGCAGUAGGGAGUUUUCGGCAAUGGGGGAAACCCUGACCGAGCAACGCCGCGUGAGUGAUGAAGGUCUUCGGAUUGUAAAGCUCUGUUAUAAGGGAAGAACGGCAGCUAGAGGAAAUGCUAGCUGUUUGACGGUACUUUAUGAGAAAGCCACGGCUAACUACGUGCCAGCAGCCGCGGUAAUACGUAGGUGGCAAGCGUUAUCCGGAAUUAUUGGGCGUAAAGAGUGAGCAGGCGGCAGUUUAAGUUUGGAGUCAAAGCGAGGGGCUCAACCCCUUAACGCUCUGAAAACUGAACAGCUAGAGUGCGAGAGAGGUAAGUGGAAUUCCAUGUGUAGCGGUGAAAUGCGUAGAUAUAUGGAGGAACACCAGUGGCGAAGGCGACUUACUAGCUCGAUACUGACGCUCAGUCACGAAAGCGUGGGUAGCAAAUAGGAUUAGAUACCCUAGUAGUCCGCACAGUAAACGAUGAAUACUAGUUGUUUGCGAUAUACAGCAAGUGACACAGCGAAAGCGUUAAGUAUUCCACCUGGGGAGUACGUUCGCAAGAAUGAAACUCAAAGGAAUUGACGGGGGCCCGCACAAGCAGCGAGGUAUGUGGUUUAAUUCGAGGCUACACGAAGAACCUUACCUGGGCUUGACAUGUAAGUGAAAGGGUUAAGAAACUAACUCUCUCUUAUGUAGCAAUACAUAAGACACUUACACAGGUGGUGCAUGGUUGUCGUCAGCUCGUGCCGUGAGGUGUAAGGUUAAGUCCUUGAACGAGCGCAACCCUCCCUGUUAUUUGCUAUAAGUUCUUAUGAGCUUAGCACUAUAACAGUACCGCUACCGACAAGGUAGAGGAAGGCGAGGAUGACGUCAAAUCAUCACGCCCCUUAUGUCCAGGGCUACACACAUGCGACAAUGGUUGGUACAGAGGGAAGCAAUAGAGUAAUCUGGAGCAAAUCCCCAAAAACCAGCCCCAGUACAGAUCGAGGGUUGAAACCCACCCUCGUGAAGAUGGAGUUGCUAGUAAACGCAGGUCAGCUACACUGCGUUGAAUAUGUUCCCGGGCCU
rnacentral:rRNA from 1 species